UGUCCAAACAAGGUGAAACAACACUUAUCUGAUGUGGGAAGCAGCUCUGAGGUUCUAGCAAGUAUUUAUGGCAAUGAAAGAUGACUAUGGUGGUAUAUAUGUAAACUACUUUGAUGAACCAAAAGAAGAAAUCGAUGAAGAUGGGAGUAUUGUUGUGCCACCGCCAAGAAACACAAACAAGAGAAAUAGGGUUGGACCUCUUGAAGAUGAUGAUUUUGAAAUGGUUAAGGUGUUUGUGGAUAUUUUAGGCGUGUUCUAUAAAAUCAUAUUGAGGGUUAGUGCAUCUACGCACCUUACUAUGCACACCACUUUCCAAGAUGUUAUUACCAUGGAAAAGAACAUCAAAAGCAUGUAUGUGUCAGCUGAAUUGUCUACUGGAGCAGAAACGUGAAAAAUCUUGAAUGAAAUGGCUGCCAAUAUGAAAAAUAAUGGUUCAAGUACUAUGAUUCAUUUCAUGAGCUCAAUCACAUAGUGAUCAUUGGCCUAGUAUUAGAUGCAAGGUUCAAGUUAAAGAAUGUGACUUACACCUUUAACCAAGAAGGUUUAGGUGAUGAGGAGGUGGAGAGAAGAACCAAGGAUAUCAAAAACCUUCUAUUUGCUCUCUAUGAUCAGUAUGUGCUUGUGGUCGAUGGAGGUAGACACCUACAGAAGUAGCCAUCUCCAAGUUCUUCAAGUAGCACUGUUAGCAACAGAAGCACCAAUAGCAGAAGGAGCAAUCUGCUCAGUAACUGGAAGAAUGUGGUUCAAGAAACUGAAGAGGCAGUCGCAAAACAUGAAGUGGAUCAGUAUUUGGAAGCCUCAUUGGAGCUCAUCGAUGAUUUAGAUUGCUUUGACCUCCUGCUAUGGUGGAAGCUCAAUCAAUUCAAGUAUCCAGUUUUGGCAGCAAUAGCUAGGGAUGUUCUUUCAAUUCAAGUGUCCACAGUGGCCUCAGAGUCAGCUUUCUCAACUGGGGCAGAGUAAUUGAUUGUUUUAGGAGUUCAUUAACUCCUAAAAUAGUUGAGGGACUCAUUUGCAUGCAGAAUUGGUUACUUGGUGAUGAUAUUGCAGAGGUUAUAGAUGAUUGCACCAUUGAAAACUAUGAAUUUUAUGAAGGAGUUGACCUAGAGCAUGAGAGCACAACAACUAGCAAAGCUAAUGUGUGUCCACCUCCACCUUCAAGAGCAAAAGCAAAGGGAAAAGGCACUGCUGCUGGUCCUAUUGAUGUUUGAUAUAUUAUGGUUUGAGUUUUUCAAGUUCAUUCAGUACUUUUAAUGUGGGAUGUAAUUCAAUACCUAUGCACCUAU